UUUCAUCUCGGUUUUCACUCUUUUCCUCAAAGCCAGGAGGCUUUAUGUCUCUAUCUAUAUGACCAAGACGAAACAACUCCCAUGCUUUAUCACUCAAAGGGUUGGGGGCUAUAUUCCUUCGCCCAGCAAACAGGGCGUUCUAGAGGCCAGAUAAGAUAGUCCUGUAUGAAGCAGCGGCGACGCAGAAGACGUUCGGAGGCUUGCUGUGACCAUGAUCUUCGCAGUCAGGUUAUUUUUGCGUUGCCUUCGACACCCCCUUUUCAACGAUUUGUUCAGUGAACAAUGUCUAUGUCACCUAGCACCGCAGUGCCCCCGUGGUACGCGUACGUCCGCUUUAUAAGUGGCCGAAAGCGUCACGUUGUCCGCGUUCGAGAUAUCAAAAACUUCUAUCUGGAACACUUGCGCGAUUUUGACAAGACACGGCCGUACUCUGUAAAAUGGACCUCACAAAAGAAUCCAGACGAGGACGGGCACUACCAAGUUUUUAUUCUACUAUGAAACGAAAGAAGACGCAGAAGCGCUCCAGAAGAAAAGGAUUCCAGUGCCACCACCACGAAUGGGAAGCCAACUGGAUGUUGCCGAGGAAAUACCAGAUGAUGAUGAUUAAAUCGAACGCACUGGAACGCAACAGAUCCAUCUGGGAAAUGAUGUGUGGCUACCGCUUGAGAGAUAUGACCACAUUCUCGCCAUUGGGGAUCUGAAAAAGGCUGUCAGAGAUGCAGCUAUGUCCAUUUUCUCGACUGGCGGUCUGCUGGACAAGAGCACCACCGGUCUCCCAUCUAACCGAUGCAUACAGAGUGGUGCAGUCGGGAAGGAAUGCAUCGACGGCAGGAAGCUCGUGGCAUUGUACAGCAAGUUGUUCCACUUUUCUCGUAUCGACGGUGUUCCCCUGCCACCACUGAAAUGUCCCUUCAUUUGUUGACAGACCUAUGUGCCAAGUACUGCGAUGCACACUUGAUAACAAAUACCAAAAAUGAACAGCAUGAAUGUACGCAAUGUACUGCGCGCAAAAAUACAGAUGAUGAGAGAAGCACUGAAGUCACAGUGAUGAAGGGGAGAACUGAUGUGGAAGUUCCACUGCCAUGCGGACCGUGCACAUGCGACUAUCCUACGACGUGCCCCGCAAACCAGACUACAAGAGAGACUCGUUAAGUUCAGCAAGUUGUAAUCUCUGUCUCUGUCUCUACUGUCACUUGUAAGUUGUAAUAAAGUUUGAUAAAACCCUGUU